rnacentral:rRNA from 1 species
ACUCCUACGGGAGGCAGCAGUGGGGAAUUUUGGACAAUGGGCGCAAGCCUGAUCCAGCCAUGCCGCGUGCAGGAUGAAGGCCUUCGGGUUGUAAACUGCUUUUGUACGGAACGAAAAGACUCCUUUUAAUAAAGGGGGUUCAUGACGGUACCGUAAGAAUAAGCACCGGCUAACUACGUGCCAGCAGCCGCGGUAAUACGUAGGGUGCAAGCGUUAAUCGGAAUUACUGGGCGUAAAGCGUGCGCAGGCGGUUAUAUAAGACAGAUGUGAAAUCCCCGGGCUCAACCUGGGAACUGCAUUUGUGACUGUAUAGCUGGAGUACGGCAGAGGGGGAUGGAAUUCCGCGUGUAGCAGUGAAAUGCGUAGAUAUGCGGAGGAACACCGAUGGCGAAGGCAAUCCCCUGGGCCUGUACUGACGCUCAUGCACGAAAGCGUGGGGAGCAAACAGGAUUAGAUACCCUGGUAGUCCACGCCCUAGACGAUGUCAACUGGUUGUUGGGAAUUCACUUUCUCAGUAACGAAGCUAACGCGUGAAGUUGACCGCCUGGGGAGUACGGCCGCAAGGUUGAAACUCAAAGGAAAUUGACGGGG